rnacentral:tRNA from 1 species
UCCCUGGUGGCUCAGAGGUUAAAGCUUCUGCCUGUAAUGCAGAAGACCUGGGUUUGAUCCUUGGGUUGGGAA